rnacentral:rRNA from 1 species
AACGAACGCUGGCGGCGUGCCUAAGACAUGCAAGUCGUGCGGAAAGGCUCCUUCGGGAGUACUCGAGCGGCGCACGGGUGAGUAACACGUGGGUAAUCUACCUGAGGGUCUGGGGAUAACCCCGGGAACUGGGCGUAAUACCGGAUGAGACCACGGCGUCCUCGGACGGCAGCGGUCAAAGGUGGCCUCUCCUUGGAAGCUAUCGCCCGCAGAUGAG